rnacentral:rRNA from 1 species
AUUGAACGCUGGCGGCAUGCCUUACACAUGCAAGUCGAACGGCGGCACGGGUGCUUGCACCUGGUGGCGAGUGGCGAACGGGUGAGUAAUACAUCGGAACAUGUCCUGUAGUGGGGGAUAGCCCGGCGAAAGCCGGAUUAAUACCGCAUACGAUCUACGGAUGAAAGCGGGGGACCUUCGGGCCUCGCGCUAUAGGGUUGGCCGAUGGCUGAUUAGCUAGUUGGUGGGGUAAAGGCCUACCAAGGCGACGAUCAGUAGCUGGUCUGAGAGGACGACCAGCCACACUGGGACUGAGACACGGCCCAGACUCCUACGGGAGGCAGCAGUGGGGAAUUUUGGACAAUGGGCGAAAGCCUGAUCCAGCAAUGCCGCGUGUGUGAAGAAGGCCUUCGGAUUGUAAAGCACUUUUGUCCGGAAAGAAAUCCUUGGCCCUAAUACGGUCGGGGGAUGACGGUACCGGAAGAAUAAGCACCGGCUAACUACGUG